rnacentral:rRNA from 1 species
GAUGAACGCUGGCGGCGUGCCUAAUACAUGCAAGUCGAGCGAACGGACGAGAAGCUUGCUUUUCUGAUGUUAGCGGCGGACGGGUGAGUAACACGUGGAUAACCUACCUAUAAGACUGGGAUAACUUCGGGAAACCGGAGCUAAUACCGGAUAAUAUUUUGAACCGCAUGGUUCAAAAGUGAAAGACGGUCUUGCUGUCACUUAUAGAUGGAUCCGCGCUGCAUUAGCUAGUUGGUAAGGUAACGGCUUACCAAGGCAACGAUGCAUAGCCGACCUGAGAGGGGGAUCGGCCACACUGGAACUGAGACACGGUCCAGACUCCUACGGGAGGCAGCAGUAGGGAAUCUUCCGCAAUGGGCGAAAGCCUGACGGAGCAACGCCGCGUGAGUGAUGAAGGUCUUCGGAUCGUAAAACUCUGUUAUUAGGGAAGAACAUAUGUGUAAGUAACUGUGCACAGCUUGACGGUACCUAAUCAGAAAGCCACGGCUAACUACGUG